AAGGUGUCUAGCCUACCAAGAAAAGAAAAGGAAGAAGAAGCGUAGAGGGCGGGGCUGGGAAGAGGGAGGUAUAAAUAUCUGAUGCCGCCAUUGCUCUUUCCACUCCUGCAACCCUUCCGUUAAGGUAAGUUCAUAGUCAAGCGAAGACCAUUUAUUUUUUAGUAGGAUUAGAUAUUCAAGUUAUCUUUGGUUUAGUCUUUGUUGUACAUUUGAAGUCAAUAGUACUUGCACUGUAGUGCGGCUUUCUUCAGUUAAAGCGUACUUGGCGGUUGUCCAAUAAGCACUACCAGUGGUGGAUGUUUCACACAACACGUAACCAUCCAUGGCCAUCGACGGGCUAAAUGUGAUCGUUUUUCAAAGAACAUUAAUUUUAUGCGUUUUGUAACCAGUGUCCUACAUUUAACGCGUGAUAUUUUUAAUGGGAGUAUCGGCACCUUUUAACCCGAGCUUGGGUGUCACUGCUGCGGCCAUUUUCGGUGUCUCUUAUAAUGAUGAUAACUACACAGACCUGUUCUGAAUGACUGUGAAUGCACCAUUUUUAUCCUGAAUGGAGACCCUGGCCGCUCAGUUCUUAACAUAAACCUGUCCAAAACGACUAGCACGUGUUGUGCUCUGUAGACUGCAGUUAAUGAGUUACUUUUUUCUUCUCAGAUGGAAGCCGAACACUACCUUACGGCAAACGCCAAAGGUUGGACAAUGCAGACCUAUUCGAAGGUAUUGGAGCCAUUGGAGUUUGAUGACUGUAUGGACAGAACAAGGAUGAUGGCUGCCUAGAAUGGUGGGAAUGUGAAAUAGCUUCACAAACCUGGACUUCGGCCAGUUUGUCCAAUGGAGGACAUUGUUGAGGUGAGUCCCACAAGAUCUUAAUGCUAGUCAACUUUACCGUGUUUCAAUGACGAUAAACCUAGCUCACUUUGAACCGAUGUGAAACUAUACAAACUUACUGAGAAACUUCAGAUUCCAUAUGAAUGGGACUAUAUUGGAAAGUUGCUAAUGUCUAUUUCUGCCAACAGACAUGGGAGUUGAUGGAGGACAUGGGAGUUGAUGGUGUGGUGAGAUUGUCAUUCAAAACCGCCCAUAAUUAAAGGUGAGGAUUCGUAUUUGUAAAAAAAAAAAUAAAAAAGUAUAUCGGUCGGCUUGAAAUGAUGAUCAUAAAUUAGAAUCUCGUUCGUCUGAAUUACUGAUGAGAAACCUAACCUGACUCAGGCCUAGGUAAUCUGCUGGAUUAAUGGGACCAUUUCUGUCAAAGCCUAACCAUCUCAUUUUGCUUUAGGUGUCAUGGUGCUGGUGUUAAGAGACUACUUCUACUCCAACCAAGGUGGGUG
rnacentral:lncRNA from 1 species